rnacentral:lncRNA from 1 species
CCCACUAAAUCCUUGUUUAGACCAUCUAACAAGUUUUCUUCCUCCAUGUUGACUUUGUGGCUCUCAAAUCUUGUCAAGAUCUAAGUCAUAACGAUCUUGUUCUCUAUAGACCAAGUCUUUUCAAGAAACAUCGCAAUCCUAAAACCGUGAACUUAUAUUUUCCAAGAAAAUAGUAAUGUUCUCGUGUUUUCUUCGGAUGUCCCACAAAGUAACACUUCUCACUUUUGAUUCCAACUAGUCAGUGAGUAUUUUCUCUACAUAUGUAGUGUAACCCAAGGUUCACACAUGUGUAAACUAUGCUUCUUUCAAUACCACAAUCAUAUGAUAUUUACUCAACUAAUUCAAGUGGAAC